rnacentral:rRNA from 1 species
CCCUUAGAUGUUCUGGGCCGCACGCGCGCUACACUGAUGCAUUCAACGAGUCUAAAACCUGCUCUGAUAGGGGUGGGUAAUCUUUUGAAUGUGCAUCGUGAUUGGGAUAGAUGAUUGCAAUUUUUCAUCUUCAACAAGGAAUGCCUAGUAAACGCAAGUCAUCAGCUUGCAUUGAUUACGUCCCUGCCCUUUGUACACACCGCCCGUCGCUCCUACCGAUUGAAUGAUCCGAUGAAUAUCAUAGACUGAGAGUAUAAGCAGGUUCGCCUGUCUUUGCUUCUCGGGAAGUGAAGUAAAUCUUAUCAUUUAGAGGAAGGAGAAGUCGUAACA